CUCGGAUAUAAUACGGGUCGUAAGAAAAUAGUCCAUCAUGGCCGACCAAGAAGAUGUUCAAACAACCAAGAGAUAUGUUAGUCCAAAGACAGAAUGAGGAGCGAACCUUUACCACUUAUUUGUGUAGAAGAGUAUGGUACCAGGGGUGCAGCUGACUCUGAUUCCCGUGUUGUUCUAAUGAAAAAAGGCAGAUGAGGCACUGGAAUCCAAAUGUAAUCAAAAAUGCCAUUGUAUGAGGAUUGACCUGCAAUGCAUGGCAAUCAUCUUAACACAACUGCAACGCCUUCCUUGGAAAAAUGAGUGCAAGAUGGAAACAAAGCGUUCAGUGGAACAUAUUGUCAUCUCAAAUAUUUGAUGACUUACAUAUUGAUGUGAAGUUGAAGAUAAAAGUCAUCUGUUGGUCCGUGAUUAUUAAAUAAAUCCGAACAUAUAUUUUAAAAGGGUAAAAUGAUAAAGGAUUUAUAUACGCUUUAAGUGGUUUUCCUAUAUUAUGGAGGGAAGAUAACUUCAAAAACAGAAACAGAUGGCAUCGGCAGACCAAAUAAAGGAGAACUAUUUUGUUCAGUUCAAUUUUUAAGACUGCAGAAAAUCUGUUAAUAGAGCACAUCCUUGCAAAUGCCAUAUUGUAAACUGGGCUCUUUAAAAUGUGAAAAGGUGAAAGUGGUCUAGAGGAUAAGCCCCACAUUCAAGGUUGUGAGUUCAAGACCUCCAAGAUACUUUCUCUUGACCUCAGGAAAAGGAUGUCCAUACUUGUUUCUUCUUAGGCAACAUACUUAAGAGUGAUUUUGUAAGCUUCCAGCUUGCAUAGCAAUCUGAUAAGGCAUAAAAUAAGUACUAGCUGACUUGCAAACAGUUUUUCCAUUUGUGUUGAUUUAUUUUUCAGUCUGUUGGAAUGUUUAUUAGAAGUGAUGCGCAUUGCUUACUGCAACCAAUAUUAAUUUUCUUUAUUAAGUUGAAUUUAACAAACACAUAACAUGGCUUGUGAUUUUACGGAUGGCUGAUACAUGUUUAUUUCGUUGAUUGUAUGAGUUUAUUUUCUCAAAUGAUGUAAUAAAAGUUAUUCUGAA